rnacentral:lncRNA from 1 species
AAUCAUAGCUAUGUAGACAUAACAUAAAGCAGCUCAUCACCUGGCUCUCAGCCACUAUUGUUUGUGAGGUGUAUAAAUAUAACACUGAUACUGUGAAAGAGCUGCUGAAUAAAGCCGUGUCUCAUCUACCUGCUGUCUCCCAAGUGUUCUUCCAGCUCCCUGCCCCUCAUCAACCCACUCUCCUCAGACCUCAGCUGGGGCUUGAACCUGAUAAUUGGUGUAGUCAUCAGGAUGAGCUGUACCCUUCAUCACGAAUUUGAUGGACUGCUUGACAAUGGAACUGGAAGAGUACCACUUUGUGGUGGACUUAGCUAAUGCAGUCUUCUCCAUUGACAUUGCUCCAGAGAGCCAGGAGAAGUUUGUCUUCACGUGGGAAGGAUGACAAUGGACUUUCACCAUGCUGCCACAGGGCUGUGUGCAUAGCCCCACCAUUUGUCCUGGUCUUGUUGCCAUGGAUUUAGCUGCCUGGAAAUGCCCAAAAGGGGUCUGCCUGUUUCAUUACAUUGAUGAUAUGUUAACCUCUGAUUCUCUCACAGAUUUAGAAGUGGUGGUGCCCCUCUUGUGACAGCAUUUGGCAGUGUGCAGUUGGGCCAUCAAUAAAUCCAAGGUCCAAGGGCCGGAAUUGUCUGCCAAAUUCUUGGGAGUUAUUUGCUCAGCCACAGGUUGGCAUGCUCCAACAACAUUGUGGACUGGGCUCACACCUAUGCUGAGGUGGCCAAUGUCUCCAACUGUUAGAUCUGCACCACCCUUCCAGCAGCAGCUGUGGAUGGCUUGCCUUGGCAUGUGCAUCCAGCUUUUGUGAAGAACUGGACAUGGCUAGAAACUUGGGGUCCCACAGACAAUGGGCGGGAUGCAACAUGGUGAGCUUUGGAUGGGGGUGUCACAAAACCCAUGGCAAGCCUGCCCCCUGGCUGACUCAUAGCAUCCAUGAUGAAUGGGGCUGGCUAAUGGGAGAAAACAUGGUGGCCCCAUUGCAAGUACCACGAUGUAUAGAGCAACACUGGGGUAAGGUCACUGUGGGAUGGUUGCCUGCUGAGACCUGUGCAAACGUAACACAUGCCACCAUGCCAAGGAUGUGGUGGAACAAGCAGCCCUACCAAGGCUGGGCCCCCAUGGACUUUGUGCCUGCUGGGAGUUUAUAGGUCUGUGGGGACAUAGGAUGGCCAUAUCUGCCAGCCAACUAGACUGGACAUUGUACCUGGGAGUGGCCUUCUGUGCCUGCCACUGUGCUUCCCACAUUGCUUAGUCACACACAUAACUGGGAGGUGCUGUGUUCCCAGUUUUUGUGAGUGCAUUGAGCCCCUAGUGGUUCUACCCCUUAGCAAUAACUGUCCCUGGAACAGGUGUCAUCACUGUAGAAAUGCAGGUUACAGCCCUUGCAGAACACAGAGAUUGGGCCCAUGAAUUACACCUGAGCUGCCCUCCUUUUGUUAAUUGAUGAGUUUGAUCAGAUCAGGAAGGUGGUGAUGCAAAACCGGAUGGCCUUAGACAUAGUCACAGCUGCUCAAGGUGGCACCUGUGCCCUUGUAGGGACAGAGUGUUGUACAUUCAUCCCUGACAACCACCAGAACAUAGUGGCAGCUUUGCAGGGGGUGUCAUGUCAUAGGAGAUUAAGGCAAUUGAAUACCUUACUGAUGACCGCCUGCAGAGAUGGUGGGUGUCUCUGGGCUCUGGCCUACACUGGGCUCUUAUAAUCAUAGGUAGCAUAGCAGGAAUAUUAGUAGUAGGUUGUUGCUCUCUUUAUUGUUGCUGUGGCCUCUGGGUCCAGGGUGCUCCCCUAUGUGCACGAGUUCCCAUUAAGAGGACCCCCUUGGCCUAGGGGGCGGAGUGUAAGGAACAUGGCUGUGUUGCUGCCAGGCAGGCAUAGGCCGAGGUAAAAAUCCUGCAUGACACAGUGGGAUUAGAGCACACGCGCGCAAUCCUGUGCCUGAUAUAAUCACAGCUAGGUAGACAUAACACAGAGAAGCUCAUCAUUUGGCUCUCAGCCACUAUCAUUUGUGAGGUGUACAAAUGUAACACUGACACUGUGAAAGAGCUGCUGAAUAAAGCCAUGUCUCAUCUACCUGCUCUCUCUCGAGUGUUCUUCCAGCUCCCUGCCCCCCGCCCCAUCUACCCACACCCCUCUGACCUCAGCUGGGGCUUGAAACUGACAUUUGCUUUAUUGUACUUUGCAGAUACUUAAAAAAAAAACCAAAUUAAAGUUUUGUGGCAACCCUGUGUUGAGCAAGC